UCCUAGCUCCGUAUUUACACCUACCUCUUCUCUCGCUCCUUCUUUUUUCAGGAUGGCUGGCUUUGAUGGCUCAGCUUGGGAUGAGGAGGAAGAAGAGCCCCCUGACCAUCAGUACUACAAUGACUUCCCAGGGAAGGAACCCCCUCUUGGUGGAGUGGUAGAUAUGAGGCUUCGGGAAGGGGCUGCUCGACCCACUCUGCCCAGUACCCAGAUGCCCAGCCACUUGGGAGCUACACUGCCAAUAGGGCAGCAUGUUACAGGAGACCAUGAAGUCCGUAAACAGAUGCUGCCUCCACCACCGUGCCCAGGCAGAGAACUCUUCGAUGAUCCUUCCUAUGUCAACAUCCAGAAUCUAGACAAGGCCCGGCAAGCUGGUGGUGGGGCUGGACCCCCAAAUCCUUCUGUUAAUGGCAGUGCACCCCGAGACCUCUUUGACAUGAGUGAGUGAGUCUCUUGUAGCCCCACCUUCUGUUGUUUCUUCUUUUCUGCCUGUUGUCUCCUGUCUGGCUUCCCCACUGAGCCUGGGUCUUGGGUGUAUACUGGGCAAGCUCGCUCUCCUAGCCAUCUCUACACCCCUAGAGCCCUUCGAAGAUGCACUCCGGGUGCCGCCAGCUCCCCAGUCCAUGUCCAUGGCUGAGCAGCUCCAAGGGGAGUCCUGGUUUCAUGGGAAACUCAGCCGGCGGGAGGCUGAGGCGCUGCUGCAGCUCAACGGUGACUUCUUGGUGCGAGAGAGUACAACCACACCUGGCCAGUACGUGCUCACUGGUCUGCAGAGUGGGCAGCCCAAGCACUUGCUUCUGGUGGACCCUGAAGGUGUGGUUCGGACAAAGGAUCACCGCUUUGAGAGUGUCAGUCACCUGAUCAGCUACCACAUGGACAAUCACUUACCCAUCAUCUCUGCAGGCAGUGAGCUGUGUCUACAGCAACCUGUGGAUCGAAAAGUGUGAUCCUUCUUAGCCUCUCCUGGAGGACGCUCUCCACUCCCUUCUACCGUGUACUCGUGGGGCCGCUGCUUGGUGGGAACUGAGCGGCAAGGACACGGCUUUAGUGCCCACUUGAGAGAGGAUUUUUAGGAGCCUGGGAAAGCAUCCUUCUUCUGCCCAAACCUCACCAAAGUAUUAAUGUGCAGAGUGGUCCCUUGUCUGGGCCUUGCCUGUGCCAACCUGAUGCCCUUCCCCCAAAAGGGUGGGUUUUAUAAUGGAAAAUACCCUGUGGUGUUAGACCCAGUGGAGUAAUUGCCCUUUGGGGGAAGGGAAAUAAUCAUACCUCUGGUUUACUCCUGGUCUUCAGGGUACCCCAGACCCCUUUUAACAUAUCCUACUCCCUAUGCAUCUCCUUAAAACUUUGUGCCUUCGACUAUCAUAGGUCUGCAGAUACUUUAUGCAGAGUUCUCAGGCUCUUCAGAUGUGGACAGGGGUUACUGACACCUUGACUUCUGGAACCCUGUUCUGCUCAGCAUCCCUUCCUGUGUCUGGGGAGAAUAGGGCAGGAGUGGCCACCAUCUCCUCUGCUUUUGGAUGUACAGCCCUUUAAAGGUUGCCCCAGGCCAGGAUGUGGUGACACAUGCCUUUAAUCACUGCACUCAGGAGGCAGAGGCAGGAGGAUUUGUGAAGCUACCCUGGCCUACAACAGUGAGUUCCAGUACAGCCAGGGCUAUGGAGAGAGGACCUGUUUCCAAAAAACCAAAAAGAACAAUUACCCCCAGAGCCUUGGGGAGGGGCAGGAUUGGACUCAUCUUGCUCAGUGCCUCCUGACCUCAAUGCCUUCCUUCCAAGGGGUCUGUAUACAUUUCUUAAGCCCACCCCUCCCAUGUUUGCAUGUGUGUUAUAGUCUACAGCCAAAGUGUAGCCGUUACUGUAACCCCAUCAGUCUCCCUCUUUUGGGACAGGUGUGUGUGGCUCACUUGGGCCUCCAGUAUGUGUGCAGUCCAAGUGGGUUUUAUGGAGGCCUGGAGACUGAAGCAGUAGACAAUCCCCAAUACCAUUUGCAGGUCUGGAACUGCUCGCUCGCUCUCUCUCUCUCUCUCUCUCUCUCUCUCUCUCUCUCUCUCUCUCUCUCUCUCUUUUUUAUAGAAAAAAAAAAGUAUACAUUUUAGGGCUGUAGAUUUAUUUUCCUAGUUUUGUUUUUCGUUGCUGACUUUUGAGCACAGAAUUAUGAUAAUCAAUUACAUUUAUACAUCACCUCGUUGACGUUUCCAAACUUUUUUUUUUAAAACAUCUUGUUGGAAUUUUACUCCCUGGCCUAACUAGGACAGGGUCCCGUACCUCCCCCUACCCCCCGCCCCCGCCUCCUUCUUCCUCAAGACACCUGAGCAGAAAUUUGGCUGAACAGUGUUGUGGAAUUAUGUGAUAGCUUUAGAUCCUCCCUUCUGCUUGAGGGCAGAUGCGGCCAGGCCAGCACAGAAACCUUGCAAGCUUACUCUGAAGGCUUUCUGGACAAGGAGUGGUCGACUGGAUUUCAGUCUUGGCUGUCGCCUAUUUUUGGUUUGGAUGUCUUAUACCAAAGGGAAAUAGUCUUCAUUAAAGUCCGUAUUUCUUCUACCUCGGCCUCUCAACACC
rnacentral:lncRNA from 1 species